AUUGAACGCUGGCGGCAGGCCUAACACAUGCAAGUCGAGCGGAGCGGCGGACGGGAGAGUAAUGCCUAGGAAUCUGCCUGGUAGUGGGGGAUAACGUCCGGAAACGGGCGCUAAUACCGCAUACUAUCAGAUGAGCCUAGGUCGGUUUAGCUAGUUGGUGGGGUAAAGGCCUACCAAGGCGACGAUCCGUAACUGGUCUGAGAGGAUGAUCAGGCACACUGGGACUGAGACACGGUCAAGACUCCUACGUGAGGCAGCAGUGGGGAAUAUUGGACAAUGGGCGAAAGACUGAGCCAGCCAUGCCGCUUGUAUGAAGAAGGUCUUCGGAUUGGAAAGCACUGUAAGUUGGGAUGCGUUACCAACAGAAGAAGCACCGGCUAACUUCGUGCCAGCAGCCGCGGUAAUAC
rnacentral:rRNA from 1 species